rnacentral:rRNA from 1 species
UAAAUAAUAUGUUAGUAUUAAUUUUUCUCGAAUUUUGAAGAGCUAAAGAGCUAUAAAUUUUAAUGUGGAAUAAUUAUUUAUAAUAGAAUUUUAGGAGUGAAAUUUUAGUCGUUUUAAAAUAUAUCUAGUUUUUUAAGAAAUAAAUUAAAUUUACUAAAUUAGGAGAAUGAUUUUUGUUUGAAAUGAUUUUUAUUAUUUUAGGAAUAUUUACAGGGAUUAGCUUGUAGAUAAAUAUUUAAAGGUGAGGAUAAUAGGAGAAUAUAAUAGGAUUAGAAGUGUUCAUUAUAAGAGUUUGUAAUAAAAAGGUUUUUGUUAAUAGGAUUUAAUUUUUUUUAAGUUAUUUAUUGAAAUGUUUAAGUUAAUUAUAUUUUUGAAGUAAUAAUGAUAAAAUUAGUAUAGUUUUUUGUAUAUUUAGUUUAAUAGCUAAGGUAAUACAAAGGAAUUCGGCAAAUAUGUUUUCUGCCUGUUUAUUAAAAACAUGGUUUUUUGAGAUAAUUUAAGAUUUGACCUGCCCAAUGAGUAGUUAAAUGGCCGCGGUAUUCU